rnacentral:lncRNA from 1 species
UUUAACUUUUUUUCUUUUAUGUUCUUUGACCUUUUCUUUUUCUUUUCUUUAUUUUCCAUUCUCCUCUCAUUCUCCCUCUGUUUUCCUCUUUUUUUCAUUUCUUUUAACGUAAUUUUUCUAUAUUCUCUAUUUGUUAAAACUAGUCCUAUAUUUUUAUUUUUUAAACAAUUUAAUUCUUUUCUUUUUAUUUCUUUACUUUCCUUUUCUUCUUCCCCUUUAUUUUUCUCUCUUCUCAUAUUCUUCACUACAAAAACAUAAUAUUUGCCCACCAA